GGGCGGGUAGCCUAGUCAGGAUAGGGCGCAGGCCCCCUAAGCCUGUGGUCGUGGGUUCGAAUCCCACCCCGCCCG
rnacentral:tRNA from 1 species